AUGCAGUCGAACGAUGAUGCCCACUUGUGGGUGGAUUAGUGGCGAACGGGUGAGUAACACGUGAGUAACCUGCCCUUGACUCUGGGAUAAGCCUGGGAAACUGGGUCUAAUACCGGAUAUGACYGWCYAUCGCAUGGUGGUUGGUGGAAAGCUUUUGUGGUUUUGGAUGGACUCGCGGCCUAUCAGCUUGUUGGUGGGGUAAUGGCCUACCAAGGCGACGACGGGUAGCCGGCCUGAGAGGGUGACCGGCCACACUGGGACUGAGACACGGCCCAGACUCCUACGGGAGGCAGCAGUGGGGAAUAUUGCACAAUGGGCGCAAGCCUGAUGCAGCGACGCCGCGUGAGGGAUGACGGCCUUCGGGUUGUAAACCUCUUUCAGUAGGGAAGAAGCGAAGUGACGGUACCUGCAGAAGAAGCGCCGGCUAACUACGUGCCAGCAGCCGCGGUAAUACGUAGGGCGCAAGCGUUAUCCGGAAUUAUUGGGCGUAAAGAGCUCGUAGGCGGUUUGUCGCGUCUGCCGUGAAAGUCCGGGGCUCAACUCCGGAUCUGCGGUGGGUACGGGCAGACUAGAGUGAUGUAGGGGAGACUGGAAUUCCUGGUGUAGCGGUGAAAUGCGCAGAUAUCAGGAGGAACACCGAUGGCGAAGGCAGGUCUCUGGGCAUUAACUGACGCUGAGGAGCGAAAGCAUGGGGAGCGAACAGGAUUAGAUACCCUGGUAGUCCAUGCCGUAAACGUUGGGCACUAGGUGUGGGGGACAUUCCACGUUUUCCGCGCCGUAGCUAACGCAUUAAGUGCCCCGCCUGGGGAGUACGGCCGCAAGGCUAAAACUCAAAGGAAUUGACGGGGGGCCCGCACAAGCGGCGGAGCAUGCGGAUUAAUUCGAUGCAACGCGAAGAACCUUACCAAGGCU
rnacentral:rRNA from 1 species